GGAGAGAUGGCUGAGUGGUUGUAAAGCACCGGUCUUGAAAACCGGCGAUGGUUAAUAGCUAUCCUAGGGUUCAAAUCCCUAUCUCUCCGCCA
rnacentral:tRNA from 1 species